rnacentral:rRNA from 1 species
AUUGAACGCUGGCGGCAGGCCUAACACAUGCAAGUCGAACGAGUGGCGGACGGGUGAGUAAUGUCUGGGAAACUGCCUGAUGGAGGGGGAUAACUACUGGAAACGGUAGCUACUACCGCAUACCAUCAGAUGUGCCCAGCUGGGAUUAGCUAGUUGGUGGGGUAACGGCUCACCAAGUCGACGAUCCCGAGCUGGUCUGAGAGGAUGACCAGACACACGGGAACUGAGACACGGUCCAGACGCCUACGGGAGGAAGCAGUGGGGAAUAUUGCACAAUGGGCGCAAGCCUGAUGGAGCCAUGCCGCGUGUAUGAAGAAGGCCUUCGGUUUGUAAAGUACUUUCAGCGGGGAUGCGUUACCCGCAGAAUAAGCACCGGCUAACUCCGUGCCAGCAGCCGCGGUAAUAC